UCCAAUGGGCGGGCCGUGGUGGGGGAGCCGCGAGGUUCGCCGGUUUGGUGCAGCACCGGUCUUCCAAUCCCAUCACGUGCCCGCUCACCACC
rnacentral:antisense_RNA from 1 species